AUUGAACGCUGGCGGCAGGCCUAACACAUGCAAGUCGAGCGGAGCGGCGGACGGGUGAGUAAUGCCUAGGAAUCUGCCUGGUAGUGGGGGAUAACGUCCGGAAACGGGCGCUAAUACCGUAUACCACCAGCUGAACCUAGGUCGGAUUGGCUAGUGGGUGGGGUAAAGGCCUACCAAGGCGACGAUCCGUAACGGGUCUGAGAGGAUGAUCAGUCAAACUGGAACUGAGACACGGUCCAGCCUCCUACGGGAGGCAGAAGUGGGAAAUAUUGGAAAAUGGGGGAAGGCUUAACCCAGACAUGCCGGGGGUGUGAGGAAGGUCUUCGGAUUGUAAAGCCCUUUAAGUUGGGAGGCGUUACCAACAGAAUAAGCACCGGCUAACUUCGUGCCAGCAGCCGCGGUAAUUC
rnacentral:rRNA from 1 species